rnacentral:rRNA from 1 species
UACGUAGGGUGCAAGCGUUAAUCGGAAUUACUGGGCGUAAAGCGUGCGCAGGCGGUUUUGUAAGUCUGUCGUGAAAGCCCCGGGCUCAACCUGGGAAUUGCGAUGGAGACUGCAAGGCUUGAAUCUGGCAGAGGGGGGGUAGAAUUCCACGUGUAGCAGUGAAAUGCGUAGAGAUGUGGAGGAACACCGAUGGCGAAGGCAGCCCCCUGGGUCAAGAUUGACGCUCAUGCACGAAAGCGUGGGGGAGCAAACAGG